AGCCUUCUGUAUCCAUGCUGAGAUUUGGUCACACACCAGACCACAAGGGCUGAUGAGACUUCCAAGAUAAGUGAAGCG
rnacentral:pre_miRNA from 1 species